rnacentral:rRNA from 1 species
AAGUCGUAACAAGGUUUCCGUAGGUGAACCUGCGGAAGGAUCAUUAUUGAAAUAAACCUGAUGGGUUGUUGCUGGUUCUCUAGGGAGCAUGUGCACACCUUGUCAUCUUUAUAUCUCCACCUGUGCACUUUUUGUAGACCUUUCAGGUCUAUGUUGCUUCAUUUACCCCAAUGUAUGUUAAUAGAAUGUUGUGCCUAUAUAAUAUAUACAACUUUCAGCAACGGAUCUCUUGGCUCUCGCAUCGAUGAAGAACGCAGCGAAAUGCGAUAAGUAAUGUGAAUUGCAGAAUUCAGUGAAUCAUCGAAUCUUUGAACGCACCUUGCGCUCCUUGGUAUUCCGAGGAGCAUGCCUGUUUGAGUGUCAUUAAUAUAUCAACCUUCUCUUUUUUGAGUUGUUUGGAUGUGGGGGUUUGCUGGCCUCUUAAAUGAUUCAGCUCCCCUGAAAUGCAUUAGCAGAACAACCUGUUCAUUGGCGUGAUAAUUAUCUAUGCUAUUGAAUGUGAGGGCAGUUCAGCUUUCUAACCGUCCUCGGACAAUUCAUCAUUAAUGUGACCUCAAAUCAGGUAGGACUACCCGCUGAACUUAA